UCUACGGGAGGCAGCAGUGGGGAAUAUUGCACAAUGGGCGCAAGCCUGAUGCAGCCAUGCCGCGUGUGUGAAGAAGGCCUUCGGGUUGUAAAGCACUUUCAGCGGGGAGGAAGGCGUUAAGGUUAAUAACCUUGUCGAUUGACGUUACCCGCAGAAGAAGUACCGGCUAACUCCGUGCCAGCAGCCGCGGUAAUACGGAGGGUGCAAGCGUUAAUCGGAGUUACUGGGCGUAAAGCGCACGCAGGCGGUCUGUCAAGUCGGAUGUGAAAUCCCCGGGCUCAACCUGGGAACUGCAUUCGAAACUGGCAGGCUAGAGUCUUGUAGAGGGGGGUAGAAUUCCAGGUGUAGCGGUGAAAUGCGUAGAGAUCUGGAGGAAUACCGGUGGCGAAGGCGGCCCCCUGGACAAAGACUGACGCUCAGGUGCGAAAGCGUGGGGAGCAAACAGGAUUAGAUACCCCAGUAGUC
rnacentral:rRNA from 1 species